rnacentral:rRNA from 1 species
UACGUAGGGCGCAAGCGUUGCCCGGAAUUAUUGGGCGUAAAGAGCUCGUAGGCGGCCUGUUACGUCUGCUGUGAAAUCCCGGGGCUUAACCCCGGGCGUGCAGUGGAUACGGGCAGGCUGGAGGCAGGCAGGGGAGAACGGAAUUCCCGGUGUAGCGGUGAAAUGCGCAGAUAUCGGGAGGAACACCGGUGGCGAAGGCGGUUCUCUGGGCCUGUACUGACGCUGAGGAGCGAAAGCGUGGGGAGCGAACAGG